AUGAACGCUGGCGGCGUGCUUAACCCAUGCAAGUCGCGCGAGAAGUUUUGAAAAGAUUCUUCGGAUGAAAUUUAAAAUGGAAAGCGGCGGACGGGUGAGUAACGCGUAGGCAACCUGCCCCAUACAAAGGGAUAGCAUUUGGAAACGAAUAUUAAUACCUUAUGAAACUUAACUAGUGCAUGCUAGGUAGGUCAAAGAUUUAUCGGUAUGGGAUGGGCCUGCGUCUGAUUAGCUAGUUGGUGAGGUAACGGCUCACCAAGGCGACGAUCAGUAGCCGACCUGAGAGGGUGAACGGCCACAUUGGAACUGAGACACGGUCCAAACUCCUACGGGAGGCAGCAGUGGGGAAUAUUGCACAAUGGGGGAAACCCUGAUGCAGCAACGCCGCGUGAACGAUGAAGGCCUUUGGGUCGUAAAGUUCUGUUCUAGGUGAUGAAAACUGACAGUAACCUAGGAGAAAGCCCCGGCUAACUCCGUG
rnacentral:rRNA from 1 species